CCCCUAGAUGUUCUGGGCCGCACGCGCGCUACACUGAACAGUUCAACAAGUCUUAACCUUGGCCGAUAGGUCUGGGUAAUCUUUGAACGCUGUUCGUGAUUGGGAUAGACCUUUGCAAUUAUGGGUCUUCAACGAGGAAUUCCUAGUAAACGCAAGUCAUCAGCUUGCAUUGAUUACGUCCCUGCCCUUUGUACACACCGCCCGUCGCACCUACCGAUUGAAUGGUCCGGUGAAAUCUCGGGACGGCGGCUUGGUCGCUUGCGUCCGACUGCUGAAACUUGAUUAAACCAUAUCAUUUAGAGGAAGGUGAAGUCGUUACA
rnacentral:rRNA from 1 species